ACACUUUUCUUUCGGGAAUCGCGCCCUAUAUUGGCGGGCGUCGGGUUCGCCCGACUAUGGCGAUAAAGAGCGGUGUGUCAUAGACGCAGCGGACCCGGGGGCAGUACCCGGCGGCUCCACCAAAACCGGCCCAUCCGGCCGGUCCUGACGGGGCCGAACCAGGAUCGACGUGUGUUGAAAAGCACUGUUUUUCGCUCGGAAUGGGACCACCGCGACGGCCCAUACACAAGUGCCAACGAUAACGAAGCACUCGCGAUUGCGGCGUAACUGAAGGCCUAGCGGCCUGAAGUUACUCCAAAAUAGCGCGGUCGGACCGCACCGGGCAACAGAAGCGGAUUCCA
rnacentral:tmRNA from 1 species